GGCUGGUCCAAAGGUAGUGAGUUCUCUCAGUUGAUUGUUCACAGUUCCAGAUUGAAUGCCUUCCCCCUUCUCAUUGCUGCACUUGGCUAGCCUUUA
rnacentral:Y_RNA from 1 species